rnacentral:rRNA from 1 species
UACAGAGGUCUCAAGCGUUGUUCGGAUUCAUUGGGCGUAAAGGGUGCGUAGGCGGCGCGGUAAGUCGGGUGUGAAAUCUUGGAGCUUAACUCCGAAACUGCAUUCGAUACUGCCGUGCUUGAGGACUGGAGAGGAGACUGGAAUUUACGGUGUAGCGGUGAAAUGCGUAGAUAUCGUAAGGAAGACCAGGUGGCGAAGGCGGGUCUCUGGACAGUUCCUGACGCUGAGGCAACGGAAGGUCAGGGGAGCAAACGGG